rnacentral:rRNA from 1 species
CGGGGUGAGUAAUGUAUGGGGAUCUGCCUGAUGGCGGGGGGUAACUACUGGAAACGGUAGCUAAUACCGCAUAACGUCGCAAGACCAAAGAGGGGGACCUUCGGGCCUCUUGCCAUCGGAUGUGCCCAGAUGGGAUUAGCUAGUAGGUGGGGUAACGGCUCACCUAGGCGACGAUCCCUAGCUGGUCUGAGAGGAUGACCAGCCACACUGGAACUGAGACACGGUCCAG